CAAGUGAAGAAGCGCAUACGGUGGAUGCCUUGGCAGUCAGAGGCGAUGAAAGACGUGGUAGCCUGCGAAAAGCUUCGGGGAGUCGGCAAACAGACUUUGAUCCGGAGAUGUCUGAAUGGGGGAACCCAGCCAUCAUAAGAUGGUUAUCUUGUACUGAAUACAUAGGUGCAAGAGGCGAACCAGGGGAACUGAAACAUCUAAGUACCCUGAGGAAAAGAAAUCAACCGAGAUUCCCUUAGUAGUGGCGAGCGAACGGGGACUAGCCCUUAAGUGGCUUUGAGAUUAGCGGAACGCUCUGGAAAGUGCGGCCAUAGUGGGUGAUAGCCCUGUACGCGAAAAUCUCUUAGUCAUGAAAUCGAGUAGGACGGAGCACGAGAAACUUUGUCUGAAUAUGGGGGGACCAUCCUCCAAGGCUAAAUACUACUGACUGACCGAUAGUGAACUAGUACCGUGAGGGAAAGGCGAAAAGAACCCCGGAGAGGGGAGUGAAAUAGAUCCUGAAACCGUAUGCGUACAAGCAGUGGGAGCCCACUUUGUUGGGUGACUGCGUACCUUUUGUAUAAUGGGUCAGCGACUUAUUUUCAGUGGCGAGCUUAACCGAAUAGGGGAGGCGUAGCGAAAGCGAGUCUUAAUAGGGCGUCUAGUCGCUGGGAAUAGACCCGAAACCGGGCGAUCUAUCCAUGGGCAGGUUGAAGGUUAGGUAACACUGACUGGAGGACCGAACCGACUACCGUUGAAAAGUUAGCGGAUGACCUGUGGAUCGGAGUGAAAGGCUAAUCAAGCUCGGAGAUAGCUGGUUCUCCUCGAAAGCUAUUUAGGUAGCGCCUCAUGUAUCACUGUAGGGGGUAGAGCACUGUUUCGGCUAGGGGGUCAUCCCGACUUACCAAACCGAUGCAAACUCCGAAUACCUACAAGUGCCGAGCAUGGGAGACACACGGCGGGUGCUAACGUCCGUCGUGAAAAGGGAAACAACCCAGACCGUCAGCUAAGGUCCCAAAGUUAUGGUUAAGUGGGAAACGAUGUGGGAAGGCUUAGACAGCUAGGAGGUUGGCUUAGAAGCAGCCACCCUUUAAAGAAAGCGUAAUAGCUCACUAGUCGAGUCGGCCUGCGCGGAAGAUGUAACGGGGCUCAAACCAUACACCGAAGCUACGGGUAUCAUCUUCGGAUGAUGCGGUAGAGGAGCGUUCUGUAAGCCUGUGAAGGUGAGUUGAGAAGCUUGCUGGAGGUAUCAGAAGUGCGAAUGCUGACAUGAGUAACGACAAUGGGUGUGAAAAACACCCACGCCGAAAGACCAAGGUUUCCUGCGCAACGUUAAUCGACGCAGGGUUAGUCGGUCCCUAAGGCGAGGCUGAAAAGCGUAGUCGAUGGAAAACAGGUUAAUAUUCCUGUACUUCUGGUUAUUGCGAUGGAGGGACGGAGAAGGCUAGGCCAGCUUGGCGUUGGUUGUCAAGUUUAAGGUGGUAGGCUGGAAUCUUAGGUAAAUCCGGGAUUCUAAGGCCGAGAGCUGAUGACGAGUUACCCUCUGGGUGACGAAGUGGUUGAUGCCAUGCUUCCAAGAAAAGCUUCUAAGCUUCAGAUAACCAGGAACCGUACCCCAAACCGACACAGGUGGUUGGGUAGAGAAUACCAAGGCGCUUGAGAGAACUCGGGUGAAGGAACUAGGCAAAAUGGCACCGUAACUUCGGGAGAAGGUGCGCCGGUGAGGGUGAAGCAUUUACUGCGUAAGCCCACGCCGGUCGAAGAUACCAGGCCGCUGCGACUGUUUAUUAAAAACACAGCACUCUGCAAACACGAAAGUGGACGUAUAGGGUGUGACGCCUGCCCGGUGCCGGAAGGUUAAUUGAUGGGGUUAGCUAACGCGAAGCUCUUGAUCGAAGCCCCGGUAAACGGCGGCCGUAACUAUAACGGUCCUAAGGUAGCGAAAUUCCUUGUCGGGUAAGUUCCGACCUGCACGAAUGGCGUAACGAUGGCGGCGCUGUCUCCACCCGAGACUCAGUGAAAUUGAAAUCGCUGUGAAGAUGCAGUGUAUCCGCGGCUAGACGGAAAGACCCCGUGAACCUUUACUAUAGCUUUGCACUGGACUUUGAAUUUGCUUGUGUAGGAUAGGUGGGAGGCUUUGAAGCGUGGACGCCAGUUCGCGUGGAGCCAUCCUUGAAAUACCACCCUGGCAACUUUGAGGUUCUAACUCAGGUCCGUUAUCCGGAUCGAGGACAGUGUAUGGUGGGUAGUUUGACUGGGGCGGUCUCCUCCUAAAGAGUAACGGAGGAGUACGAAGGUGCGCUCAGACCGGUCGGAAAUCGGUCGUAGAGUAUAAAGGCAAAAGCGCGCUUGACUGCGAGACAGACACGUCGAGCAGGUACGAAAGUAGGUCUUAGUGAUCCGGUGGUUCUGUAUGGAAGGGCCAUCGCUCAACGGAUAAAAGGUACUCCGGGGAUAACAGGCUGAUACCGCCCAAGAGUUCAUAUCGACGGCGGUGUUUGGCACCUCGAUGUCGGCUCAUCACAUCCUGGGGCUGAAGCCGGUCCCAAGGGUAUGGCUGUUCGCCAUUUAAAGUGGUACGCGAGCUGGGUUUAGAACGUCGUGAGACAGUUCGGUCCCUAUCUGCCGUGGACGUUUGAGAUUUGAGAGGGGCUGCUCCUAGUACGAGAGGACCGGAGUGGACGAACCUCUGGUGUUCCGGUUGUCACGCCAGUGGCAUUGCCGGGUAGCUAUGUUCGGGAAAGAUAACCGCUGAAAGCAUCUAAGCGGGAAACUUGCCUCAAGAUGAGAUCUCACUGGAACCUUGAGUUCCCUGAAGGGCCGUCGAAGACUACGACGUUGAUAGGUUGGGUGUGUAAGCGCUGUGAGGCGUUGAGCUAACCAAUACUAAUUGCCCGUGAGGCUUGACCA
rnacentral:rRNA from 1 species